UCGGAAGGGCGGAUAGCCGCUCUGGCCGGCAACGGCCGGGGAGGAAAGUCCAGACUCCACCGGGCGCGGUGCUCCGUGCAAACGGAGGGGUCCGGUUGUAAGGAUCGGGCCACGGACAGUGCCACAGAAAACAAACCACCCCGGCAACGGGGAACGGGUGAAACGGCGAGGUAAAAGCUCACCGCGUCCCGCGCGAGCGGGACGGCACGGAAAACCCCACCGGGAGCAAGACCAAAUAGGCCACGAGACGCGGCCCGCGUCGUUUGAGUGGCGGGUACAGGUCGCAUCAGAUAAAUGGCUAUCAAGAACAGAAUCUGGCUUACGGCCCUUCCGUUCGU
rnacentral:RNase_P_RNA from 1 species